rnacentral:rRNA from 1 species
AUUGAACGCUGGCGGCAUGCUUUACACAUGCAAGUCGAACGGCAGCACGGGCUUCGGCCUGGUGGCGAGUGGCGAACGGGUGAGUAAUACAUCGGAACGUACCCAGUAGUGGGGGCUAGCCCGGCGAAAGCCGGAUUAAUACCGCAUAUGCCCUGAGGGGGAAAGCGGGGGACCGAAAGGCCUCGCGCUAUUGGAGCGGCCGAUGGCUGAUUAGCUAGUGGGUGGGGUAAAGGCCUACCAAGGCGACGAUCAGGAGCCGGUCUGAGAGGACGACCAGCCACACUGGGACUGAGACACGGCCCAGACUCCUACGGGAGGCAGCAGUGGGGAAUUUUGGACAAUGGGCGAAAGCCUGAUCCAGCAAUGCCGCGUGUGCGAAGAAGGCCUUCGGGUUGUAAAGCACUUUUGUUUGGAAAGAAAAGGUUUGGGUUAAUACCCUGGACUGAUGACGGUACCAAUCGAAUAAGCACCGGCUAACUACGUGCCAGCAGCCGCGGUAA